GGCGGACGGGUGAGUAACACGUGGGUAACCUACCCAUCAGAGGGGGAUAACACUUGGAAACAGGUGCUAAUACCGCAUAACAGUUUAUGCCGCAUGGCAUAAGAGUGAAAGGCGCUUUCGGGUGUCGCUGAUGGAUGGACCCGCGGUGCAUUAGCUAGUUGGUGAGGUAACGGCUCACCAAGGCCACGAUGCAUAGCCGACCUGAGAGGGUGAUCGGCCACACUGGGACUGAGACACGGCCCAGACUCCUACGGGAGGCAGCAGUAGGGAAUCUUCGGCAAUGGACGAAAGUCUGACCGAGCAACGCCGCGUGAGUGAAGAAGGUUUUCGGAUCGUAAAACUCUGUUGUUAGAGAAGAACAAGGACGUUAGUAACUGAACGUCCCCUGACGGUAUCUAACCAGAAAGCCACGGCUAACUACGUGCCAGCAGCCGCGGUAAUACGUAGGUGGCAAGCGUUGUCCGGAUUUAUUGGGCGUAAAGCGAGCGCAGGCGGUUUCUUAAGUCUGAUGUGAAAGCCCCCGGCUCAACCGGGGAGGGUCAUUGGAAACUGGGAGACUUGAGUGCAGAAGAGGAGAGUGGAAUUCCAUGUGUAGCGGUGAAAUGCGUAGAUAUAUGGAGGAACACCAGUGGCGAAGGCGGCUCUCUGGUCUGUAACUGACGCUGAGGCUCGAAAGCGUGGGGAGCAAACACGGAUUAGAUACCCUGGUAGUCCACGCCGUAAACGAUGAGUGCUAAGUGUUGGAGGGUUUCCGCCCUUCAGUGCUGCAGCAAACGCAUUAAGCACUCCGCCUGGGGAGUACGACCGCAAGGUUGAAACUCAAAGGAAUUGACGGGGGCCCGCACAAGCGGUGGAGCAUGUGGUUUAAUUCGAAGCAACGCGAAGAACCUUACCAGGUCUUGACAUCCUUUGACCACUCUAGAGAUAGAGCUUUCCCUUCGGGGACAAAAAGACAGGUGGUGCAUGGUUGUCGUCAGCUCGUGUCGUGAGAUGUUGGGUUAAGUCCCGCAACGAGCGCAACCCCCAUUGUUAGUUGCCAUCAUUUAGUUGGGCACUCUAGCGAGACUGCCGGUGACAAACCGGAGGAAGGGGGGGAGGAGGUCAAAUCAUCAUGCCCCCUAUGACCUGGGGUACACACGUGCUACAAUGGGAAGUACAACGAGUCGCUAGACCGCGAGGUCAUGCAAAUCUCUUAAAAAU
rnacentral:rRNA from 1 species